rnacentral:rRNA from 1 species
CCUACGGGAGGCAGCAGUGAGGAAUAUUGGUCAAUGGACGGAAGUCUGAACCAGCCAUGCCGCGUGCAGGAAGACGGCUCUAUGAGUUGUAAACUGCUUUUGUACAAGGGUAAACCUGAAUACGUGUAUUCAGCUGAAAGUACUGUACGAAUAAGGAUCGGCUAACUCCGUGCCAGCAGCCGCGGUAAUACGGAGGAUCCAAGCGUUAUCCGGAUUUAUUGGGUUUAAAGGGUGCGUAGGCGGGCAUUUAAGCCGGCGGUCAAAUGUCGGGGCUCAACCCCGGCCUGCCGUCGGAACUGGGUGCCUUGAGUGGGCGAGAAGUAUGCGGAAUGCGUGGUGUAGCGGUGAAAUGCAUAGAUAUCACGCAGAACCCCGAUUGCGAAGGCAGCAUACCGGCGCCCUACUGACGCUGAGGCACGAAAGUGCGGGUAUCGAACAGGAUUAGAUACCCUUGUAGUC